rnacentral:lncRNA from 1 species
UGCUCCCAGCCCCACACAUUUGUUCUCAGCCCCACACACUUGAGCUCAGCCCCACAGAUCUGUGCUCAGCCCCCCCAUUUUUGGCUCAGCCCCACACAUUUGCUUCCAGCCCCACACAUUUGAGCUCAGCCCCACAGAUUUGGUCCCAGCCCCACAGAUUUGAGCUCAGCCCCACAGAUUUGGUCCCAGCCCCACACAUUUGGUCCCAGCCCCACAGUUUUGGCUCAGCCCCACACAUUUGCUCCCAGCCCCACACAUUUCUCUCACCUCAUCUCCUCCCUCCGCCGCCGCUUUUGCUGCACCGCCUCCUCCUGCCUUUUCCUCCUCUCCGCCUUCAGCCUCAGUUUCUCCUCCCUCCUCUCCAGCAGCUCCCGAAGCUCCGCCUCCGAUUUCUGCACUGUGAGACACAGUGGGGCUUUUUACGCCCCUUCCAGGACCUGCCCAACCCGCCCUGCUGGGCUCUGCUCCUUAACGGUCCCUCCAAGAAGUUCCUGAGUACUUCUGACCUGCCCAACCCACCCUGCUGGGCUCUGCUCCUUAACGGCCCCUCCAAGAAGUUCCCGAGUGCUUCUGACCUGCCCAACCCGGUCCAACCACUCCACACAUCUAUGACCUUCAAGGACCCUUUCAACCCAACAAUUCUGCGGUUCUUUAACCUUCCAGGACCCAUCCAACCCAACCAUCCUGUGACCUUCCAGACCUUUCUAACCCAAGUCAUCCCAACCCAACCACUCCCCACAUCUAUGACCUUCAAGGACCCUUUCAGCCCCCAAAUUCUGUAGUUCUUUAGCCUUCCAGGACCUUUCCAGGACCCUCCCAAUCCAAUGCAAGCAUUCCGUGGUUCUUUAACCUUCCAGGACCCAUCCAACCCACCCCAACCACUCGCUGG